AAUGAACGCUGGCGGCGUGCCUAACACAUGCAAGUCGAACGAGAAAGCCUGGCUUGCCAGGCAAGUAAAGUGGCGCACGGGUGAGUAACGCGUGGGUAAUCUACCCUUAAGUCGGGAAUAACUUAUCGAAAGGUGAAUUAAUACCUGAUAACACUGCAUAACUACUGUUGUGUAGUCAAAGAAGGCCUCUGCUUGCAAGCUUUCGCUGAAGGAUGAGUCCGCGUACCAUUAGCUAGUUGGUAGGGUAAUGGCCUACCAAGGUUAUGAUGGUUAGCUGGUCUGAGAGGAUGAUCAGCCACACUGGAACUGAAACACGGUCCAGACUCCUACGGGAGGCUG
rnacentral:rRNA from 1 species